UCCCAUUUGGGUUGUCAAUCCAACAACCCAACUGUGUCUCCAAAGAGAGAGAGAGAAACCCAAUUCUAGAGAGAGAAACCAACCUAUACUUACACACAUAUAUAAGCCCUAGGAGAGAGAAACUGAGCUUCAACUUUCACUCUUCAUCUCACAUUGUAUUCAAAGAUCUCACCUUUACAAUCGUCUUCUACACAAGGAACCGUCUUUUGCUAGGAAAUGGCGAAUUCAAAGGGGCCAUCGAGCUUCAGAAGUAUGAUGCACAAUGGAAAGCAUUCUCUACUGCCUCCUAAAAGUCCGUUCCCCAGUAUUACCCCUUCAUAUGUUGAUUAUGUUCCUAGUCCUGCUAUUGGAGUAAAAGGUAUGCCAAAGCCUAGAGAUGGAAACUCUUACCAUCAGCGCACUUCAUCUGAGAGCGUUCUGAUAGAGGACCAACCUUCUUGGUUGGAUGAGCUUCUUAAUGAGCCAGAAACACCAGUUGGCAGAGGUCAUCGCCGAUCAUCCAGCGACUCUUUUGCAUAUACUGAUGCACUUAGUGCUGCUAACAUUAGUUAUGCAGCUCAAAAUGAGUAUAGACCUAAAAACAUGACGACUAUUCAUUCAUGGAAAUCGCAAGACCUUGAUUUUUACAAAGAUGCACACAAUGCUUCAUUUUAUGCAGAUGCAAACUCGUUCAGCAAAAUCAAGAAUAGGUCUUGGAAUUCUCCUUCAUAUGUGAUGGCACAUCCAAGUGGGAACCUUUGUUCCAAGGACAAUUUUAUUCGUCAUAACUCAGUAUCAGAAUGUGCUUCCCAUGAAGCUGAUCAAUUUCCAUCUAAUGCCGAAAAGCUAAAUACCCCUGAAUCUGGUUCACAUGAUGCUAAAGCCUCUUCAGAGAGAAAGGAUCUAUCUUAUGCUAGAACUCCUGCAUCCGAAACCGACACAAAGCGUGCAAAACAGCAAUUUGCUCAACGCUCCCGUGUUCGAAAGCUACAAUACAUAGCAGAACUGGAAAGGAAUGUACAGGCAUUGCAGGCAAAAGGCUCUGAAGUUUCUGCUGAACUUGAAUUUCUUAAUCAGCAAAACCUUAUUCUGAGUAUGGAAAACAAAGCUCUGAAGCAACGAUUGGAGAAUCUCACCCAAGAGCAGCUUAUUAAGUACUUGGAACAUGAAGUACUGGAGAGGGAGAUUGAAAGGCUGCGGACCUUAUAUCAACAGCAGCAACAGCAACCACACCAGCAGCCUCCUCCCAGCCAUCAGCGUGCCAAAAGUCGGGAUCUUGAUUCUCAGUUUGCAAGCCUUUCCUUGAAACACAAGGACUCAAGUUCUGGUACUGAUUCCGUUGCUGGCCCGUUGAACAUCUAAUCUCAUAUACAUUGCUGGUGGUCGAUUUGCUUGCCUAAGAACUUCUCUAUGAUGCUUUCAUACCAAUCACCGAGUCCAAGUCAUUUCUGUAGAGUUUGGCUUGAGAAUAGAUCUUCCCAGGUGUAUUCACCUGUUUUUACACCUUUCUGAUUGGCCCUUAUCAUUUGGUUAUUUAUUCUACGUGGCCAUCCUUGUUGAUUUAGUAGAUCAUAUGCACCUGGUGAUCCGGCAGAUAGCUCACCGGAGGUGAAUACAUGAAAGCUUCAUCUGACUUAGGAAGCUUUACUACUGGGCCAGAAAAGUGAAAAUUUGUCUACACCGCGACAUUUAGUAGGAUAGUAGUGCAAGCCGCCGGCCACCGUACAUGCCAAUAUUCUGGUUGGCCAAACAAGAUCACUCCGAUUCUUAAGCAUUCCUGUAUAGUGAUGAAGCAGAGACGGUCAAGUUAAUUACCUUGAAACUUGGCAUUGUGAUUUGUGACUAGUUACAGGAAAACUCGAAUUCCCUAUUUAACUAUAAUAUUGACGAAACCAACGAGCCUGAAUUUGAUUCUUGUAAGUUAUUUGAGAUAAAAGAAAAAGAUAACAUAUAAUUUAUUAAUUUA